rnacentral:tRNA from 1 species
GGCCUUGUAGUGAAAUUCAUGGUGAGUUGCAAGCUCAUUGAUGUGCAUUAGCUUGCACCGAGGUCU